UUUUUUUUUUUUUUUGUGGUGGUCUCCAGUCCUUGAUCGUUUUAGAUCACUGACAUCUGCAAAUGAAGAUCAUCAGUCAU